rnacentral:rRNA from 1 species
CUGAAUAACUUUGCUGAUCACACAGUCCUAGCACUGGUGACAUAUCUUUCAAGUGUCUGCCCUAUCAACUUUCGAUGGUAGUUUAUGUGCCUACCAUGGUGGUAACGGGUAACGGAAAAUAAGGGUUCGACUCCGGAGAGGGAGCCUGAGAAAUGGCUACCACAUCCAAGGAAGGAAGCAGGCGCGCAAAUUACCCACUCUCAGCUUGAGGAGGAAGUGAAAAAAAAUAACGGGACAGCUCUCUAUCAUGUAUGUCAUUGGAAUGGGUACAAUUUAUACCCUUUAACGAAGAUCUAUUGGAGGGCAUGUCUGGUGCCCCCCGCCGCUGUAAUUCCAGCUCCAAUAUCAUAUACCAAUUCUGUUGCUGUUAAACA